UUCCUCUAGUUGACUUAUUUUUUUGUUCAGACUGCACAGGAUGAAUUAGAGAUGGUUUUUCUUCAAAAAUAACAUUUCUGUAAGCCCACAUGCUUUGUCCCAGUAAGAUAGUGAGAGAUAUUUUUAAAUGAAUGUUUCAAAGGUGAACUUCACAAGGGUGACACACCUGCAGGCAUUUGUAUUGUGUGAGUAACAGUGAAAAAGACCAAGGGGUUGUUAUAGCAACAAACACCAAGCAAUGACUUCAUGAAGGGAACCAAGUGACAUCAGAAUGGCACCUUGAAAGCAGCUGCUUUUGUUGAGAGCUUCAUUCUGCAGGUUGAAUGUAUUUCUGCUCUCCCAUCUCCUUAAAGGUUGCCUGAGUGCAGGGAAAACCUGAGCUGGUGUCCCACCCUCAUGGCAGAGAUGCAGACAAGCAGCUGGAUGGGUAGAUACAGAGUCCAGUGCAGAUCUGACUGGGACACAGGAGACUUACCCAAUGGGAGGAUAUUUGCUCAUGUUUUACAUGAGCAGGACCACAGCGAGUCCCCUAUAGUGCUGGUUCUGCUUUGCUGCACAGAGACCCCAGGCCCCAAACUGGCACCGCUGCACACCCCCUGGCCACUCAGCAGCCCCAGAUCACCAACAAAACCUAGGAAGGUGCUUGAAUACUUGGAGUGUCAGUACAGGCAACUGAAUCAUCACACAAAUGAAGUAUGGAUGAGAAGGAGAGAGCAAUGGUCUAAUCAUUUCCUGUUCUGUAAUUACGGUAAAAAAAGGCUAAUCCUGAAAAAAAGUGAUUGCCUUCUUUGUUGUAUCCAUGGCAACAGAAAAGGAUAGCGACUGUUUGACCAUCUGCAAGUUGUCGUGGCUUUCUUCUUCGCCUCCUAAAGCAGCUGAGGCUGCCCAGAUGCUCCAGCAGGCCCGAGAGCACAGGCUUGGCUGCUGGUGCUGGGGUGGGCUCAGGCACAGUGGCAGGGAAACACACACCCUGGUUCAGCAGGGUCUGUACCAGCUCCUUAUGCUUUCAGAGCACCCUGGGCUGCUCCCCUGGGCCUUCCGCAUGGGACUCAGGCUGUGCCUCGCUUCACUCAGCCCCUCCUCGCUUUUCCUUGCCCAUCCAUCUCCAAGGAAAAGGCUGAUAAUGAUGAGUAAGGGGGUAGUCAAGCAUCCAAAUAUACAGCCAGAUGUCUGUGUAUUUGGAUGUUGUUUGAACAAAAAGAUGUUCAUGAUGGAGCAUGAACUAGAGAGACAGUUUAUGGGGAAUUGGGAAUGAGGAGAGGAGAGGAGUAGCCACACUGUGCAUCAACCAGAAGACAACAUGCAAGAGCUGAGAGGAAGUACUUCUUGAAAGAAACACACAUAUUUCAUCUGAACAUCAGGAAACACCAGGAGCCCUUCUGUGCUGUGUGGGUGCCAGGGCCCUGCCCCAGGCUGCCCAGAGAGGCGGUGGGGUCUCCUCCCUGGAGGCCUUCAGAAGCCGCCUGGACGUGGUGCUGGGCACCCUGCUCUGGGUGGCCGUGCUGGAGCAGGGGCUGGGCUGGGGCCUCCUCAGGUCCCUGCCCACCUCAGUGCUCUGGGGUUCUGUAAUAUCACCUCAGGAUCUGCCCUCCCUUUCUUUUCACUCUCUUACUGAUUUUUUAAGUUUACUAAAUUUGAUAUCUAAUCUAGCUUUGAUUAAUAGCUAAAAUAGCAAUUUUGUUUGAUCCUGCAUUCACUGACACCACGCUAAAAACCCCUACCAGUGUAACAGGCACAUAACAGAAGCUUGAUUUAGUUGGAUCAGUCACAAACCUGUAGUUUUCUGGUGGUUUAAAAAUGUGAACAAUGAGCUAUUAUGGCGUAUAUAUGAAAUAGUUCACACUUUUUGUAUUUUCUGUGCUUAAAUUUAAAAUUUAGCUUCAUAUGGUGGGAGAAGAGGGCAGAGAGGAGAGUUCAUUCACUGGCGUAUGCAGUGGCACUCGGGGGGUGCCACCAAGCCCACCUUUAUGCUGACAGCAGUUCUGCAUAAUUUUUGCUGUUUGCUCUUUGCAAUUGUUUUGGCAUUUUUAAGUGAAUACAAUUCCCUUGUGAGACCUCAUAAAUACGACCAGAUACCAGUGAGCCGCAGGCCAGUGAUAGUAUACCCAUUUCACAGAGAAAUGUGUUGAAAAUACAUCACUGUAUUGAUGAGCCCAUCAGAUUGUCUGCAAAAAUACUAAUAACCACAUGUGUACAGAAGCAUACUUUUAAU